AGCAGCCGCGGUAAUUCCAGCUCCAAUAGCGUAUAUUAAAGUUGUUGCAGUUAAAAAGCCCGUAGUUGAAUUUCGGGGUCAGUAGGUCGGUCGUGCCACUGGUAUGAACUGGUUUUACUGAUUCCUCCCUCUUGAAGAACUGUAAUGCCAUUAAUUUGGUGUUGCAGGGAAUCAGGACUGUUACUUUGAAAAAAUUAGAGUGUUUAAAGCAGGCUUUAGCUUGAAUACAUUAGCAUGGAAUAAUGAAAUAGGACGUUUGAUCCUAUUUUGUUGGUUUCUAGGAUUGACGUAAUGAUUAAUAGGGAUAGUUGGGGGCAUUAGUAUUCAAUUGUCAGAGGUGAAAUUCUUGGAUUUAUUGAAGACUAACUACUGCGAAAGCAUUUGCCAAGGAUGUUUUCAUUAAUCAAGAGCGAAAGUUAGGGGAUCGAAGACGAUCAGAUACCGUCGUAGUCUUAACCAUAAACUAUGCCAACUAGGGAUCGGAUGAUGUUAAUUUUUAACGACUUCAUUCGGCGCCUUA
rnacentral:rRNA from 1 species